UACAAACAAGUUGAAAACUUUGGACAGAGUCGUCCAAAGUUACGGUCAGAUACUUCUCAUGAAAACAAGUUGAAAACUUUGGACAGAGUCGUCCAAAGUUACGGUCAGCUUCUUCUCAUUAAAAUGAAUCAAAAACUUUGGACAAAGUCGUCCAAAGUUACGGUCAGCUACUUCUCAUGAAAACAAGUUGAAAACUUUGGACAGAGUCGUCCAAAGUUACGGUCAGCUACUUCUCAUAAAAACAAGUUGAAAACUUUGGACAGAGUCGUUCAAAGUUACGGUCAGCUUCUUUAUAUGAAAAUAAAUUAAAAACUUUGGACAAAGUCGUCCAAAGUUACGGUCAGCUACUUCUCAUGAAAACAAGUUGAAAACUUUGGACAGAGUCGUCCAAAGUUACGGUCAGCUUCUUCUCAUUAAAAUAAAUCAAAAACUUUGGACAAAGUCGUCCAAAGUUACGGUCAGCUACUUCUCAUGAAAACAAGUUGAAAACUUUGGACAGAGUCGUCCAAAGUUACGGUCAGCUACUUCUCAUAAAAACAAGUUGAAAACUUUGGACAGAGUUGUUCAAAGUUACGGUCAGCUUCUUUGUAUGAAAAUAAAUUAAAAACUUUGGACAAAGUCGUCCAAAGUUACGGUCAGCUACUUCUCAUGAAAACAAUUGAAAACUUUGGACAGAGUCGUCCAAAGUUACGGUCAGCUUCUUCUCAUUAAAAUGAAUCAAAAACUUUGGACAAAGUCGUCCAAAGUUACGGUCAGCUACUUCUCAUGAAAACAAGUUGAAAACUUUGGACAGAGUCGUCCAAAGUUACGGUCAGCUACUUCUCAUAAAAACAAGUUGAAAACUUUGGACAGAGUCGUUCAAAGUUACGGUCAGCUUCUUUAUAUGAAAAUAAAUUAAAAACUUUGGACAAAGUCGUCCAAAGUUACGGUCAGCUACUUCUCAUGAAAAUAAGUUGAAAACUUUGGACAGAGUCGUCCAAAGUUACGGUCAGCUUCUUCUCAUUAAAAUAAAUCAAAAACUUUGGACAAAGUCGUCCAAAGUUACGGUCAGCUACUUCUCAUGAAAACAA